AUAUUCACGAGAGAAUUUGGCAGAGCCACCUUCUGUUGAUGGCAACUGAGAACCAGGGCUAACACAAGUACUGAAGCAGACAAUAUGGCCAAUAAACAGUGAAGGAAAUUAGGACUUAGAAAUGGUCUACAACUUGCCAGAAAUCACAAAG